GAUGAACGCUAGCUACAGGCUUAACACAUGCAAGUCGAGGGGUAACGAGAGGAAAGCUUGCUUUCCUUGUCGACGACCGGCGCACGGGUGAGUAACGCGUAUCCAACCUGCCCCCAACUAGGGAAUAACCUUGCGAAAGUAAGACUAAUACCCUAUAAUUUCCUCAGAUGUCAUCUGACGAGGAAUAAAGAUUUAUCGGUUGUGGAUGGGGAUGCGUCUGAUUAGCUUGUUGGCGGGGUAACGGCCCAUCAAGGCAACGAUCAGUAGGGGUUCUGAGAGGAAGGUCCCCCACAUUGGACCAGAGACACAGUCCACACUCCUACGUGAGGCAGCAGUGAGGAAUAUUGGUAAAUGGGCGGAAGCUUGAACCAGCCAAGUAGCGUGCAGGAUGACGGCCCUAUGGGUUGUAAACUGCUUUUAUACAGGAAUAAAGUUAGCCACGUGUGGUUAUUUGUAGGUACUGUAUGAAUAAGGACCGGCUAAUUCCGUGCCAGCCGCCGCAGUAA
rnacentral:rRNA from 1 species